UUUCCUUGUCUUUAGCCGAAGAGGAGAUCUGCGCGGCUCUCCGCUAAACCGCCUCCUGCCAAAGCAGAGCUGAAGCCAAAAAAGUCAACGGCAAAGGAUAAAUCUGAGGACAAGAAAGCUCAGUCAAAAGGGAAAAAAGGGCCUAAAGGAAAACAGACAGAAGAGAUGAACCAAGGACAGACAAAGGACAGCUUGCCUGCAGAAAAUGGAGAAACUAAAAGUGAGGAGACCCCAGCAUCUGAUGCAGUAGUAGAGAAAGAAGCUAAGUCAGAAUAACAUCUUAUACCGACUCUUUAUUUGGUGGUCCUUAUACCUUUCUUCUUGUACAAUUCAGAGGAUUAUUUUUAUCAACUAUUUUGUAAAUGCAAGUUUUUUAGUAGUUCUAGAAAGCACAUUUUUAAAAAGGAAAGAAUCCCAACUCAACCCAUUUUUUUACAUAUUUAGAUAAGUAUGAAUACUUUUUUAAAGUGGUAAAAUCGUGUACUGGUUGUCUCUUUUCUAUGAUACCAGAAAUUAAUGGAAUGUUGAGGGCUUCAAAGUCUUGAUUAGGCUUCUCGUUCCAUAGACAGUGAGGGACAGUUCUUUUCUUUCCUAUUAAAUGAAGCAUAACAGAUCAAACUUUGAAGGUGUUGAAGAUGUCUUAACAUUGUAGUUAUUUAUCUAUGAUUGUACUAUCAGUAGAAUUGCUUACCUAAUAAAACUGUUCCCCAGUGUUGGAUUUCUUGCUGAGUUGUGUACUGCCUGUGACAAAAUUAUUUUUGGUAAGUGCAGUUUUAUUUUUUUCCAACAGCUUUGUAAAUGCUGAAGGAUUGAAAACCCUUAUUAUAUCCUUAAAUACUGAAUAGGGAAAACUUUCUGCUUGGCAGAUGUAACAGCUUAUGUCAGUAUGCAAGAUACUGGCACUUCACGUCCAGUUUUAAAGGACAGCUUGUCUGCAAAGAUGAUGUCUUCCAGUGCUGCACCACGGUACGCUUCUCGUCCCAUUCCACCAUAGCUGUAUUCCUAGCAGAACUCACCUGGCUUUGGCCGUAGCUUUGGCUUCAUAUUCUGUGAUGUUCUGCAAGGCUUGAACUGUAAUUUUCUGCUGCUUUUUCUUUCCCCAGUUACCUUAUUUGUCCCUUUAACUUUAGUAGUAGCACAACACUUGGCUGCAUAUGUGGUAUGUUUGUUUAUUUUGUAUUUUUAGCAAGUUAAAAAACAUCAGUGAAAUGACCCAUUAAAUUUGCAGGCAAGUAUCCUGAAAUAACCUCUUUUGCCUCCUUCUUGAAUGCCUACUUUCUGUGUGUGUUGUCUUUAAUGUUGAAGUUGUGCUGACCUUCAACAUCCUCUCUCUGACCUCUGUUACCCAGUGUUUGAUCAGAGCUGCUCCCUAAUACUUAAUGUGCGUGAAAAAAGUUACUUCGCACUUUGUUAUGGAAGUGAAUUGAAUCAGUGACAGCUUACCCAUCAGAGGACAGAGAACGUUUCAUAUUGAAAGGAGGAAAGGACAGGUACUAGAAUCAGGAGCAUAGGAGUCCUAGAUCUGCUUUUGAGCACCAGAGCCCGCUGUUGUUGCAGUAAAGAAUGAAAUAGACUUUCCUAAAUACCUGCAGUAUGCCGGUGUUAUGUAAAUCUGUAGGUGAACAACCUCUUAAAUUAUGGAAUACAAAUUGACUGUAUGACUUUUGCUUGAUCAUGCAGUAGAUGGGGUUGGAGGAAGCUUUUCACAGCUCUAAUGCCAGAGUCCCCAGAGCUCUAUGUAUUCAACAUAGCUAUGGGCAUGAAAGGAUUCUCUUAGCCUCUACUGUAAAGAUAACUGCUGCUUGGGCACCCUUUGAGAAGAUGAUUGCUGUCAAAGAACCAUUCUUUAGUCAUCAAAAGCAGUCCACUCAGGAGAAAGAAAUCUAAUUUUAAGUCAAGCACAUUGUACCCCAUAAUGAAUAAGAUUAUAUAAAUAGCAGAUAAUGCAGAUUAUUGCCCUUAUCCAUGUACCAUGAAAUGCCACUGUGUAACCAAAAACGACAACACUGGCUGCUGGGAAAAGGAGGAAUUGCAUGUAUUAACACUAGAUGUCAAUCCUGCAUGUGGACAAUUGAAUUGGAAGGUAUUUAGACUCGUAUCUGACAAUGAUUUCCAUGGCUAUGUUUUGGAGAUAGCAUUCUUUCCUGUAACGACAGCAGAAAUAUAUUUGCUCCAUGUGAGGAAGGAAUGGAGUGACAGUUAAUAACAAUUUGCAUGUAGCACUAGAUACAAAAUGCAAAUCAGCCAUUUGAAAAUAGAGCAUCAAGAGAAUAAAACGUGUUUCUGUAAGGGUUUAUUGAGUCACAAAAAUUUGUUUGUAUACUGCUACUAGCUACUGUUCUGGUUAAGAGAAUGCUAUUUUAUAUGUGUUCACAUUGCACCAUUCUUCUGGACUUCAUCUUCUAGUGUCAGCUAAUCACUACUCUUUAAACCAAGAACACAGCCAGGAUGCUGAAGUGCAUUCAGCUUUAAUUGAUACUGAUUGCUCUGGCAAUGAAAUCUAGAGAAAUGCAGGCGACCCUUGAAGAAGGAUCUGGCUAAAGCUAGAACAAUGCACAUGUUCAGAGAACCUCUGAUCUCUUUUAAGGGGAGAUUUUAAUGAGAAUAAUGCUUUUUUUUUAAUUCCAUCUGAACUGUGAUACAGGAGUUCUGAACAGGCAGUAGGUGGUGAAGAGCGGGCCUCUGCCUUGCAGGACACAUUGGGGAAGACUGCCUACUUCUGGGCCUACACCGAAUGUGUACAAAAGUUCUUUUGUCAAAAGCUGAGAGCACACCUGAGGCAGUAAGAUUAAUAAAAUACAAAACUAUUUCUACAUUGAUACAUAAAAAUAUUUUGCUUCAAAGGCUCUAAAAAUGCAUACCAAACUGCCACAGCUGGGAAAUGAAAAAGGGAAGAAAGGGAUAGCUGCAGAUUUAAAAUACAAUGAAAGUGAGAGUGUAGCCAUUGCUCCAUUUACAUUAGCCUUUGUAGUGGGCAGAGGUAAGAAACAACUUGUAAGGAGAAAAGAAAGCCACCUCAAACAGGCCCCCAAAACCCUGGGGGAUGGAGAGGAGGCUACUGCCUCUUUGAAGAGGCAAUAGGGGGCACUGAGGCAGAGCUGUCACUUUUGGAAAGGAGAUGCAAACAAACUGGUUCUUUCCUCCAAAGAGGGACGGGGAAGACUGGUUCCCCAAAGGGAGGCUGAGGUGCCCCCUGCAAGUGCCGCACACCUGCACCGUCCUUGGAGGAACUGACCUCCCCUGUCCCGUCUGCGCAGUGGCCGCCAGAAGUGACGAGACCCCCUUGAAGUAGCAGGUAGGGGCUGACAAAAGACAAUUAAUUGCUCACAGUGCAAAACCACUGUAUUGGUGACAGCAGGAUUACUGCUGUGAGCGGCUGCGGAGAGCGAGCGGCCUGGCAGAUCUGCUGCUGUCUUCUUAGG